rnacentral:rRNA from 1 species
UACAGAGGUGGCAAGCGUUGUUCGGAAUUACUGGGCGUAAAGGGCGCGUAGGCGGCCUUCUAAGUCAGACGUGAAAUCCCCCGGCUUAACCGGGGAACUGCGUCUGAUACUGGCGGGCUUGAAUUCGGGAGAGGGAUGUGGAAUUCCAGGUGUAGCGGUGAAAUGCGUAGAUAUCUGGAGGAACACCGGUGGCGAAGGCGGCAUCCUGGACCGACAUUGACGCUGAGGCGCGAAAGCCAGGGGAGCAAACGGG